ncrna:Capitella teleta microRNA cte-mir-2686a precursor
UGAGUACCUAUAUUGCGAAUCAUCUAUCCUUUCAAAUCGGAAGAUGUUCUCAAUGUAGGCUUCUUA